rnacentral:tRNA from 2 species
GGGUAUAGUUCAGCUGGUAGAAUAUCGGUCUCCAAAACCGCAGGUCGUGGGUUCGAAUCCUACUGCCC